AAAAAAAAGGGACUCUUCUUGUUCUAUAGUGAGCAAACGAACGAAGGAGAAACAUAAAUUUAAAUUGAAAGCCUUAGCUCUCGAACUAAAGAGAGAGGUGGAAGAAGAAGAAGAACGAGAAGAAGAUUGACCAAAGGAAUUCGUACGGAGUAAUUGAGUGGCAAGCUUGGUAACUCAACACAAGUACUAGAAUUCAAGUGGUAUUGAAGAGGAUUUCAUUAACUAGCGUGUGAGUUAGUAGCAUCUGGUGAGCCCCGCAUUGCUUCGUGUGGCAAGAGAACUAUUGAUUUGUUAUGUUUAUUUAGUUUCUUUUAAAAACUCUUAGAAUUGCUCCAUUUGUCAUUCUUUUGAUUUGAGUCAAGAUUAGUCCUUCGAAUUGUAGUCAAGUGACUAGUUUGGAAUUUUUUUUCCGUAAUUUGGAGAUGAAUUGGUUUUUAUUGCGUGACAAUUUGAUCAUUGAUGGAUAUUAAAUGGUGGUUUAUAGUUGCUAUUAGUUGUGUUGUGAAAUUCUGAGACAGGAAAAAUCCAGGAUAGGCCUAAAAACAAAGGAAACUCUGCCCGAUUUUCUGUAGAAUUCUGGUGAGGCUUGCUUUG